rnacentral:misc_RNA from 1 species
UUGGAUUAUGACUGCUGUCGGCGUAAUUGCCGGCUCAGUUGAAAUACACGAGCAACCCAUUUGAAAUAAACGGCUUGACUCGGCGUAAUAAUUAUUUCGCUGAGGACGUUUUCUUCAAAAGUUAGAGGUGCUUCUAAUGCGCUAUUACAGCACUUUAAAUUUUAGACCUCAAAUCAGUCAGGACUACCCGCUGAACUUAA